AUUGAACGCUAGCGGCAGGCCUAACACAUGCAAGUCGAACGAGUGGCGGACGGGUGAGUAAUGGCUGGGAAACUGCCUGAUGGAGGGGGAUAACUACUGGCAACAGUAGCUACUACCGCAUACCAUCGGAUGUGCCCAUAUGGGUUUAGCUAGUAGGGGGGGUAACGGCGCACCUAGGCGACGAUCCCUAGCUGGUCUGAGAGGAUGACCAGCCCAACUGGGACUGAGACACGGGCCAUAUUCCUACGGGAGGCAGCAUUGGGGAAUAUUGCACAAUGGGCGCAAGCCUGAUGCAGCCAUGCCGCGUGUAUGAAGAAGGCCUUCGGGUUGUAAAGUACUUUCAGCGGGGAGGCGUUACCCGCAGAAGAAGCACCGGCUAACUCCGUGCCAGCAGCCGCGGUAAUUC
rnacentral:rRNA from 1 species